ensembl:lncRNA
AUGAGCUCACUAAGUAAGACGGAGAACGGUCUGGUGAAAGGAGAGGAAGAAGCUUUCAGAAUGAAAACGGAUGAAGAGGAGGCUAUCACAUUGAAAGAAGAAGAGGAUGAUAUUACAGUGAAAGAGGAAUAUGGGAAAGAGGUUGUCAAAGUUGAAGAAGAGGUAGAAGCUUUCAGAAUAAAAAAGGAGGAAGGUGCCGUAACAUUGAAAGAGGAGGAAGACCCUUUUGGAGUAAAAGAGGAGGAUAUCUCAAUAAAAGAGGAAGACGUUUUGGGAGUGAAAGAGGAGGAGACUGAAGAUCAGAUUAACCCCAGAGAGAGACACAACUAUCAUGGAUUCUCUGGGGAGCCUCAACAACAUCCUGAAGCUGACGAGUCAGAGAAUAGUCUCUACAGAUCAGAACACCAGAUGGUGCAGCUUGGCAUGAGAAGGAAAACAACGUGGCUGUUAUGAAAGUGAACUGUGUUCUCGUGUGAUCAGCGGUGUAUUCAUGUGCCGAUUGUUGUUGACAAAGUUUCUUAAACGGAACAAAACGGGGAUAAACAUACCUGAAUUUGUCCAAUAGAAACUCUUGUUUGCAACUGCUGGAUUAAUGAUUACCCACUAUAUCAGCUAGAUGCAGGCAAGAGUAUGCAAGGUGGUAUUGAAUGUGUCACUGUCACUGACCUGUGUGCACCUACGUUGUAAACUUCAUUCAUAGGCUAGGUUGUAGCAACCUCAUGAUUUGUAAAGGGAACAUUUGAGAAUCAUGUAGUAGCCUAAACCUAUCGCUGUUACAUUGAACAGGGUGAAUCGAAUAUGAAUGACAGUUGAAUGAGAGUCAUCCAACAUGCUGUAGUAGAAAUAAGGCCAUGCUCAUGAAAAACAAAAUGGUCCUCCCUAAUCUGAAACGGCACUGACCGCCACAGUUUGGGUGGUGGACCAUUCUUUCUACACUUGGGAAACUGUUGAGCUGAAAACCACAGCAGUGUUGCAGUUCUUGACACAAACCGGUGCGCCUGGCACCUACUACCAUACCCCGUUCAAAGGCACUUAAAUAUUUUGUCUUCCCAAUUCACCCUCUGAAUGGCACACAUGCACAAUCCAUGUCUCAUUUGUCUCAAGGCUUAAAAAUCCUUAUUUAACCUGUCUCCCCCCCUUCAUCUACACUGAUUGAGUUGGAUUUAACUACUGACAUCAAUAAGGGAUUGUAGCUUUAGCCUGAAUUAAUCUAGUCAGUCUAAGUCAUGGAAGGAGCAGGUGUUCUUAAUGUUUUGUAUACUCCGUGUAUAGCACUACAGAUAAUCAAGUGCUAUUUGGCUUUAAGGGAAUAGUAUGGUCACAUCGAGAUAAAAACGAAUGUGAAAAAUGAACAGAGAAAAUGUGUAUUAACACACUACCUAUUCCAAAAUGCGUUACUCACUCCAGUCAGCAGAUGACGAUGUGCGUCUUGCAUGACGUAUAAUUAACUGGACGGGACGCUUCUUCAGGAACAACAACACGGCUACUCUUUCAACCACCUCGGUAGCUUGCUAGCCAACAUAAAACUGAAAGAUUGAUUAUUUAGACCAUGUUAAUGUACAUUAGCUAAUCUCAGUGUUUUAAACAAAUUUCGGUUGACUUAUCUAAUGGUUAACUUUAACCUAAUGUGCUUGUUCAAUUUGCAAACGUGUUAAAUAUUGAUAGUGUCUAGGCUAGUCGCUAAUGCUACCUAAACUUGCUAACUAACAUCCCUGACCAUGAGCUCACUAAACUUCUCCUCCCUUUCGACCAUGUUUGUGUACAUUAGCUAAUCUGUGUUUUAAACACAUUUCUGUUGAUGGAUCAACUGGUCAACUUAAUUUGCAAACGUGUUAAAGAUUGAUACUGAAGUUAGCACUAGGCUAGUCGCUAAUGCUAACUA